rnacentral:snoRNA from 1 species
CGAGGAGCUGGACGAGCUGAGCCUCAGCUACUCCCAACUGAGCAGCAGCGGAUGUGAUGAGGCAGA